CACCCAGGGGCGACGGGGGCCGCGGCAGCGCCCCCUAACGGCCGCCAACGGCCGGCGGGGCGGGGCGCGGCGUGAGGAGAGGAGGGCGGUGCCGGCCGCGCGCCGCAGGGCGUGGCCGCAGUACGUGCGCCGCGCUCUCAUUGGCUCCCCAGGCGGAAGGGCCGGUGGUGCGUGCGCGGGGGCCGCCCUCGCCCCCACGGAGCCUGAGGAGAUGGAGGCGGUGGCGCGGCGGCAGGAGGGCGAGGAGGACGGGGACGGCGCGGCGGGUGGUGGCAGCAGCAGCAGCAGCAGCAGCAGCAGCCGCCGCCGCCGGAGCCGGGCGUUGUCGCUGUCGGGGCAGUCCUACUGGCUGGACUUGUGGCUCUUCGUCCUCUUCGACCUGGCGCUAUUCGUCUUCAUCUACUUGCUGCCCUGAGGGCGCCGGGCCCAGAGCUACUACCUAAUCACAGGAUGCACCUUAUGCAAGCAGGCGGUGGAAGAGGAGGACAUUUGUGCAGUAUAAACAGCCGGGAACAAGACUCGACUUGCAUCUGAAUGCAAGAGGCACAUAUAUACUUAGUAUCAUAAUGUAUCUGUAGCUGUAUCACAAGUAUUACUGUUCAGGUUUUUACCUGUACCCUGUUACUUUUUUCUAAGCUGUGCCUUAAAGGUCACGUAAGACAACUUGACUGUGCUUUUGUAAUUAGUGCCUAAAGGUUUGUUAAGUGGAAGUGAAGAUAUGUACUGUUUGAAUAAAAAUAGACUGAAAAGGACAGACUAGAGUGGCUGAGAAUAAAAACCCAGCUCUUGCAUAGA